rnacentral:tRNA from 1 species
GGAGAGGUGGGCGAGUGGUUUAAGCCAGAUUAAGGUAAUUGCAAAAUUUCCUGAGUCCACACGAUUUAUCGUGUCGUAGGUUCGAAUCCUGCUCUCUCCGCCA